rnacentral:rRNA from 1 species
CCUACGGGUGGCAGCAGUGGGGAAUAUUGGACAAUGGGCGAAAGCCUGAUCCAGCCAUGCCGCGUGUGUGAAGAAGGCCUUCGGGUUGUAAAGCACUUUCAGUGGGGAAGAAAGCCUUGGGGCUAAUACCCUCGAGGAAGGACAUCACCCACAGAAGAAGCACCGGCUAACUCCGUGCCAGCAGCCGCGGUAAUACGGAGGGUGCGAGCGUUAAUCGGAAUUUCUGGGCGUAAAGCGCGCGUAGGCGGUCUGAUAAGCCGGUUGUGAAAGCCCCGGGCUCAACCUGGGAACGGCAUCCGGAACUGUCAGGCUAGAGUGCAGGAGAGGAAGGUAGAAUUCCCGGUGUAGCGGUGAAAUGCGUAGAGAUCGGGAGGAAUACCAGUGGCGAAGGCGGCCUUCUGGACUGACACUGACGCUGAGGUGCGAAAGCGUGGGUAGCAAACAGGAUUAGAUACCCUAGUAGUC